GUUAGGAAUAUUGGACAAUGGGCGCAAGCCUGAUCCAGCCAUGCCGCGUGAGUGAUGAAGGCCUUCGGGUUGUAAAGCUCUUUAGCCGAUGAUUAUAAUGACUGUAGUCGGAAAAUAAGCCCCGGCUAACUUCGUGCCAGCAGCCGCGGUAAUACGAAGGGGGCGAGCGUUAUUCGGAAUCACUGGGCGUAAAGCGUGCGUAGGCGGCUUUGCAAGUUGGGAGUGAAAGCCCAGGGCUCAACCCUGGAAUUGCUCUCAAACAUGCAAGGCUCGAAUUCGGGAGAGGAUAGCGGAAUUGUCAGUGUAGCAGUGAAAUGCGUAGAUAUUGACAGGAACACCAGUGGCGUAAGCGGCUAUCUGGACCGAUAUUGACGCUGAGGCACGAAAGCGUGGGGAUCAAACAGGAUUAGAAACCCGGGUAGUCC
rnacentral:rRNA from 1 species